rnacentral:rRNA from 1 species
UACGUAGGGUGCGAGCGUUGUCCGGAAUUAUUGGGCGGAAAGAGCUCGUAGGCGGUGUGUCACGUCGGCCGUGAAAACCUGCAGCUUAACUGUGGGCGUGCGGUCGAUACGGGCAUCACUGGAGUUCGGCAGGGGAGACUGGAAUUCCUGGUGUAGCGGUGAAAUGCGCAGAUAUCAGGAGGAACACCGGUGGCGAAGGCGGGUCUCUGGGCCGAUACUGACGCUGAGGAGCGAAAGCGUGGGGAGCAAACAGG